GAUGAACGCUAGCGGCGUGCCUAAUACAUGCAAGUCGAGCGGAAGCACGAGGGAUUUGAUUAUCUGUGGUUAGCAGCGGACGAGGGGGUCGCAACUGGAUAGCAACCUUCUUUGAACAGGGGGACUACAGGGAACCAGAGCUACUAAUAGCUCAUAUUAUCAUCGGCAUGGUCCUUCAGUGUAAAAAAGUCUUGCUGUUACUUAUGGACAGGUCCGCGAUGCAUUAGCUGGUGGGUAAGGUGCCGGCUUACCAAGGCAAAGAUACGUGGCCGACCUGGGAGGGUGAUCGGCCACACCGGAACGGAGACACGGUCCAGACCCCUACGGGAGGCAGCAGUAGGGAAUCUUCCGCAAUGGGCGAAAGCCUGACGGAGCAACGCCGCGCGAGGGAAGAAGGUCUUCGGAUCGGAAAACUCUGUUAUUAGGGAAGAACAGAUGUGGAAGUAACGAGGCACUGCUUGACGGUACCUAAUGAGUAAGCCACGGCUAACUACGUG
rnacentral:rRNA from 1 species